rnacentral:rRNA from 2 species
UCCGGUGGCGAUAGCGGCGGGGAACCACCCGUCCCCAUUCCGAACACGGAAGUUAAGCCCGCCAGCGCCGAUGGUACUUGGGGUGCAGACCCCCGGGAGAGUAGGACACCGCCGGGC